GUGUUCUUGGUUUCCUAAGCAACCAUAAAGGAUAUGCCUAGGAGUAAUUUCUUCACAUAAUUUGGCACACACCAGUGUGACUUCAAAAUUACAUAAUCCAAUGUGAGACUUCAUGAGGGAAACAGCUUGGUUUUUUAUUACAAGCCCUAACUGGUUUGUCUUCAGUGUCAGUACUUUAUUCAGUGAAGAGUUCAGGACAAGAUCAAGAAUGGGGAGAUCAUUUCACAUCUACUUCGCUGGUUUGAAUCCAAUGCAGGACAGAAACAUCUUCAGUGGAAUUGCCUUUCCUAUUUUCUGAUAUGAAAACAAAUGAUAAAGAACUUACGCUAGAGGCACUAAGGAUACAGAGGAGCACCCACAGGAUAAGACUAGGAGGAGGAGCCAACAGAAAGAAGAAUGGAAGAUGUCUCAGACACACUGAGAAAAUGUCAGCAGCUGGAAGAAGAGGGGUUCUAGAAAAGAUUAGGCGGAACAUACCAGUGUCCAAAUGAGAGAAAGAUAAAGCAAAAAGCAGAUUAGCAUACAGAAAGGAAAAAGAAGAGACUUGGUGGAAAGAACAUAAAUUCGUAGAAUGAAUACACCCUGUUAUGGGGCUAGUAUUGUUUUAGGAGCUUAGCUUGUGUGUGUGUUUGUACAGCACCUAGCACAACAGGGCCUAACUUGGUGGCAGUGUUUAGGUGAUGGGGUGUACCAACCCCAUACAGGGCUGAAAGGGUUGAGAGCCUGUAGGCACAAUCAUCCUCACCCCACUACACCUGGUAUCAAGCCAGAAGGAAGGAGUUAAAAGGGCUGAACAUGGCUCAGUUAAGGACUGACCUGGAGCUCUCACUCAGUAGAGAAGACUCGCUAGAGUCAGAGAGCUGAGCUGGGCUGCUGGCAGACAGAAGG